GCCAGCGUGGCAUAGUGGUUUGAGUGUUGGUCUACAACUCUGGAGAGCAAGGUUCGAUUCCUGGCUCAGCCA